GAUGAACGCUGGCGGCGUGCCUAAUACAUGCAAGUCGAGCGAACAGACGAGGAGCUUGCUCCUCUGACGUUAGCGGCGGACGGGUGAGUAACACGUGGAUAACCUACCUAUAAGACUGGGAUAACUUCGGGAAACCGGAGCUAAUACCGGAUAAUAUAUUGAACCGCAUGGUUCAAUAGUGAAAGACGGUUUUGCUGUCACUUAUAGAUGGAUCCGCGCCGCAUUAGCUAGUUGGUAAGGUAACGGCUUACCAAGGCAACGAUGCGUAGCCGACCUGAGAGGGUGAUCGGCCACACUGGAACUGAGACACGGUCCAGACUCCUACGGGAGGCAGCAGUAGGGAAUCUUCCGCAAUGGGCGAAAGCCUGACGGAGCAACGCCGCGUGAGUGAUGAAGGGCUUCGGAUCGUAAAACGCUGUUAUUAGGGAAGAACAAAUGUGUAAGUAACUAUGCACGUCUUGACGGUACCGAAUCAGAAAGCCACGGCUAACUACGU
rnacentral:rRNA from 1 species